GGGCGGUUAGCUCAGCGGUAGAGCACUGCUUUCACACGGCAGGGGUCGAUGGUUCGAUCCCAUCACCGCCCACCA
rnacentral:tRNA from 1 species